UACGUAGGAUGCAAGCGUUGUCCGGAUUUACUGGGCGUAAAGCGCGCGCAGGCGGCAUACCAAGUAUUCAGUGAAAUCUCCCUGCUCAACGGGGAGGGUGCUGAGUAGACUGGUAAGCUAGAGGACGGUAGAGGGGGGUAGAAUUGCUGGUGUAGCGGUGAAAUGCGUAGAGAUCAGCAGGAAUACCCGUGGCGAAGGCAGCCCCCUGGGAUGAUACUGACGCUCAUGCACGAAAGCGUGGGGAGCAAACAGG
rnacentral:rRNA from 1 species